rnacentral:rRNA from 1 species
UGGGGAAUUUUGCGCAAUGGGGGAAACCCUGACGCAGCGACGCCGCGUGAGCGAUGAAGGCCUUCGGGUCGUAAAGCUCAGUCAUUGGGGAUGAAAAGGACAGUACCCAAAGAGGAAGCCCCGGCUAACUACGUGCCAGCAGCCGCGGUAAUACGUAGGGGGCGAGCGUUGUCCGGAAUUACUGGGUGUAAAGGGCGUGUAGGCGGGGAUGCAAGUUACCGGUAAAAACCCGUGGCUCAACCACGGGCUUGCCGAUAAAACUGCAUCUCUUGAGUGUAGGAGAGGGAAGUGGAAUUCCCGGAGUAGCGGUGAAAUGCGUAGAUACCGGGAGGAACACCAGUGGCGAAGGCGGCUUCCUGGCCUAUCACUGACGCUGAGGCGCGAAAGCUAGGGGAGCGAACGGGAU